rnacentral:lncRNA from 1 species
UUUUUGAGUACUUCAGGCCAAAACUAGGGGCGAGCUCAAGCCUGUGGGCAUGGCUGCCAGCCUGGGUCUGGGACUCAGGAUCUGAGCCUCCUGCUGAAGGCACAGGCUGGGAAUCCCAGGCCUGGGUUCCAGUCCCACUCCCUCUGUGACCCUGGACAAGUCACUGCCCCCUCUGACCUCCAACUCAUCACCUCUUAGAACAGAGCCUGUAGGAUGGGCAGUGGGUGGAUGUGCUUGCCUCCUGGGUGGGCUGUGGCGUUGGGAAGGUCAUAGUAGGCGAAUCAGGCCUGGCAUCUUGUAAGUUCGGAGCUCGUCUUGGGUGUCUCAGCUUCUUAGGGCUUGGACUCAGUUGCCCAGGGUCCUGGAGGCCGUGGCUUGGUUCCUCAGAUCCUCAGUUUUGGAAUCGUAGAGUCCUGAGUCCCUAGAACUUGAGAGCACAGUCUGAGUGACUCAGAG